GGGGAGGAAAACCAUAAACCCUGUUACAACCAAAUUGUAAAAGGUUUCUGAGAAGCCGAGUACAGGGAAGAGCUGAGAAGGGUGAUGAGAACAGUUUAAAAACAGGAAAGUUAAGGGAACAGAGAACACCCAGGAGGGUAAAACCAGACAGAAGGGAGGUGGGAUUAGAAAGGGGAAAGAGGGUCUUUCUAAGUACUUAAAGGGCAUUAACCACCCUCCUCGUAUCCAGGCACUCAACCACACAGAGAGAGGCAAAGGGAAGGCUUGAGAAGAUGGUGAAGAGGGAGAUGGUGAAGGAGGUCGAAAGGGAAAGCAGAAGAAGGGAGGGGGACUGGAAAGCUGGACAGAAUGGGGAAGAAACUGACAAAUGUGGGGUUAACACAGAAACUCAGUGAGGAGGAAGUGGGAGGAACACACUCUCUUGCCUCUCUCAAGUUCCUCCCCAUUCCA